GUGUUCACUUCAACAGCACAUAUACUAACAUUGAAACAAUAUAGACAUUAGCAUGGCCCCUGAACAAGAAUGACUAGCAAAUUUGUGAAGUGUUCCAUUAAAAA
rnacentral:snRNA from 1 species